rnacentral:rRNA from 1 species
AGCAGCCGCGGUAAUUCCAGCUCCAAUAGCGUAUAUUAAAGUUGUUGCAGUUAAAAAGCUCGUAGUUGAAUUUCGGGAUCAAUACGUCGGUCGUGCUUCGGUACGUACUGGCGUAAUUGAUUUCUCCCUUCUGACGAACCAUGAUGUCAUUAACUUGGUGUCAUGGGAAAUCAGGACUGUUACUCUGAAAAAAUUAGAGUGUUUAAAGCAAGCUAACGCUUGAAUACAUUAGCAUGGAAUAAUGAAAUAGGACGUUCGAUCCUACUUUGUUGGUUUCUAGGAUUGACGUAAUGAUUAAUAGGGAUAGUUGGGGGCAUUAGUAUUCAAUUGUCAGAGGUGAAAUUCUUGGAUUUAUUGAAGACUAACUACUGCGAAAGCAUUUGCCAAGGAUGUUUUCAUUAAUCAAGAACGAAAGUUAGGGGAUCGAAGACGAUCAGAUACCGUCGUAGUCUUAACCAUAAACUAUGCCGACUAGGGAUCGGAUGAUGUUAAUUUUUAAUGACUCAUUCGCGCCUUAC